rnacentral:misc_RNA from 1 species
GAUGAAGAACGUAGCGAAAUGCGAUAAGUAAUGUGAAUUGCAGAAUUCAGUGAAUCAUCGAAUCUUUGAACGCACCUUGCGCCCUUUGGCCAUUCCGAAGGGCAUGCCUGUUUGAGUAUCAUGAACACCUCAACUCUUCAUGGUUUUCCAUGAUGAGCUUGGACUUUGGGGGUCUUGCUGGCCUGUGGGUCGGCUCCUCUCAAAUGAAUCAGCUUGCCGGUUUUUGGUGGGCAUCACAGGUGUGAUAACUAUCUACGCUUGUGGUUUUCCACCAGGGUAACCUUCAGCAGUGGAGGUUCACUGGAGCUUACAAAUGUCUCUCCUCUGUGAGGACAGCCCUUUGAAUGUUUGAUCUCAAAUCAGGUAGGGCUACCCGCUGAACUUAAGCAUAUCAAUAAGCGGAGGA